CACGUAGGGGGCGAGCGUUGUCCGGAUUUAUUGGGCGUAAAGAGCUCGUAGGCGGUUUGGCAAGUCGGGUGUGAAAUUUCGAGGCUCAACCUCGAAACGCCACUCGAUACUGCCAUGACUGGAGUCCGGUAGAGGAGUGCGGAAUUCCUGGUGUAGCGGUGAAAUGCGCAGAUAUCAGGAGGAACACCAACGGCGAAGGCAGCACUCUGGGCCGGUACUGACGCUGAGGAGCGAAAGCGUGGGGAUCAAACAGG
rnacentral:rRNA from 1 species